UACAGAGGUCUCAAGCGUUGUUCGGAUUCAUUGGGCGUAAAGGGUGCGUAGGCGGCGCGGUAAGUCGGGUGUGAAAUCUCGGAGCUUAACUCCGAAACUGCAUUCGAUACUGCCGUGCUUGAGGACUGGAGAGGAGACUGGAAUUUACGGUGUAGCGGUGAAAUGCGUAGAUAUCGUAAGGAAGACCAGUGGCGAAGGCGGGUCUCUGGACAGUUCCUGACGUGAGGCACGAAGGCCAGGGGAGCGAAACGGG
rnacentral:rRNA from 1 species